AUGGGCAUCUCUCCGGACAACUGGCACAAGAGCCACAAGAGUGGCGGCAAGAGAAAGUCCUACCACAAGAAGCGGAAAUACGAGCUGGGACAGACAGCCUGCUGCCAGUACUAAGACUGGCCCUCGCUGCAUACCCACAUACACAGUCCGAGUUCGAGGAAGCAGUAAGCAGUACCGUGCCCUGAGACUGGAUGUUGGAAACUUUUCCUGGGGCUCUGAGUGUUGUAUUCACAAAACAAGGAUCAUUGAUGUUGUCUACAAUGCGUCUAAUAAUGACCUUGUUCGCACCAAGACCCUGGUGAACAGCUGCAUUGUGCUUAUUGACAGACAGCACGUCGUCCUAGCAGGUGCUAUGAGUCCCACUAUGUGCUGCCCCUGGGCGGCAAGAAAGGGGCCAAGGUGAUUCCUGAGGAUGAAGUGAGUUUUUAAACAAAAAAGGAUCAAAGAAAACGAUCAAAGAAAUACAACGAAAGGAAAAAGACUGCAAAAUCCGCAGUCUUUUGGAGGAGCAGCUCCAGCAGGGCGAGCCUCUUGUCUGCAUUGCCUCAAGACCAGGCCGGUGUGGCAGAGCAGAUGGCUCAGAGACAAGGAGCCGGAGUUCUAUCUGCAGAAGAUCUAAGCUCGGAAAGGCAAAUAA
rnacentral:lncRNA from 1 species